rnacentral:rRNA from 1 species
UAACACGUAGGGGGCGAGCGUUGUUCGGAAUUACUGGGCGUAAAGGGCAUGUAGGCGGUUCUGUAAGCCUGACGUGAAAGGCUAUGGCUCAACCAUGGCACUGCGUUGGGAACUGCGGGACUUGAAUCAUGGAGAGGGAGCUGGAAUUCCAGGUGUAGGGGUGAAAUCUGUAGAUAUCUGGAAGAACACCAGUGGCGAAGGCGAGCUCCUGGCCAAUGAUUGACGCUGAGGUGCGAAAGUGUGGGGAUCAAACAGGAUUAGAGACCCUGGUAGUCCACACUGUCAACGAUGUGCACUAGGUGCUGGGGCGGACGCUUCAGUGCCGGAGCUAACGCGGUAAGUGCACCGCCUGGGGAGUAUGCUCGCAAGGGUGAAACUCAAAUGAAUUGACGG